UGGGGAAUUUUGCACAAUGGGGGAAACCCUGAUGCAGCGACGCCGCGUGAUUUAGAAGGCCUUCGGGUUGUAAAAAUCUUUUUUACGGGAUGAAAAUGACAGUACCGUAAGAAUAAGGUCCGGCUAAAUACGUGCCAGCAGCCGCGGUAAUACGUAUGGACCGAGCGUUGUCCGGAAUCAUUGGGCGUAAAGGGUACGUAGGCGGCCUAGUAAGUUAGAAGUGAAAUAAUAUAGCUCAACUAUAUAAAGCUUUUAAAACUGCUAGGCUUGAGGGAUGGAAGGGAAAGUGGAAUUCCUAGUGUAGCGGUGAAAUGCGCAGAUAUUAGGAAGAAUACCGGUGGCGAAGGCGACUUUCUGGUCAUCAUCUGACGCUGGGGUACGAAAGCGUGGGUAGCAAACAGG
rnacentral:rRNA from 1 species